GUCAGGAUGGCCGAGUGGUCUAAGGCGCUGCGUUCAGGUCGCAGUCCUCUCUGAGGGCGUGGGUUCGAAUCCCACUUCUGACA
rnacentral:tRNA from 1 species